rnacentral:rRNA from 1 species
UACGUAGGGUGCGAGCGUUAAUCGGAAUUACUGGGCGUAAAGCGUGCGCAGGCGGCUUCGCAAGUCAGGCGUGAAAGUCCCCGGGCUUAACCUGGGAAUGGCGUCUGAAACUACGGAGCUGGAGUGUGGCAGAGGGAGGUAGAAUUCCACGUGUAGCGGUGAAAUGCGUAGAUAUGUGGAGGAAUACCGAUGGCGAAGGCAGCCUCCUGGGCCAACACUGACGCUCAUGCACGAAAGCGUGGGGAGCAAACAGG